rnacentral:rRNA from 1 species
GAUGAACGCUGGCGGCGUGCUUAACACAUGCAAGUCGAACGAAACACCUUAUUUGAUUUUCUUCGGAACUGAAGAUUUGGUGAUUGAGUGGCGGACGGGUGAGUAACGCGUGGGUAACCUACCCUGUACAGGGGGAUAACAGUCAGAAAUGACUGCUAAUACCGCAUAAGACCACAGCACCGCAUGGUGCAGGGGUAAAAACUCCGGUGGUACAGGAUGGACCCGCGUCUGAUUAGCUGGUUGGUGAGGUAACGGCUCACCAAGGCGACGAUCAGUAGCCGGCUUGAGAGAGUGAACGGCCACAUUGGGACUGAGACACGGCCCAAACUCCUACGGGAGGCAGCAGUGGGGAAUAUUGCACAAUGGGGGAAACCCUGAUGCAGCGACGCCGCGUGAGUGAAGAAGUAUUUCGGUAUGUAAAGCUCUAUCAGCAGGGAAGAAAAUGACGGUACCUGACUAAGAAGCCCCGGCUA